rnacentral:rRNA from 1 species
GACGAACGCUGGCGGCGUGCUUAACACAUGCAAGUCGAACGGAAAGGCCCGGCUUUUGUGGGUUGCUCGAUUGGCGAACGGGUGAGUAACACGUGAGUAACCUGCCCUUGACUUUGGGAUAACUUCAGGAAACUGGGGCUAAUACCGGAUAGGAUCUCCUGCUGCAUGGUGGGGGUUGGAAAGUGUGGGCUGUAUGGGAUGUACUCGCGGCUUAUCAGCUUGUUGGUGGAGUAGUGGCUUACCAAGGCUGAGACGGGUAGCCGGCAUGAGAGUGUGAACGGCGACAAGGGGACUGAGAGACGGAGCAGAAGGGAACGGGAGGCAGUAGUGGAGAAUCUGGCGGAAUGGGCGCGAGUCAGAGACAGAAACGUCGCGUGCGGGAUGACGGCUUACGGGGUGUAAACAGACUUCGAAGGAGACGAAGCGUGAGUGACGGUAAUGGGUAAAGAAGCACCGGCUAACUACGUG